AUACGGAGGAUGCGAGCGUUAUCCGGAUUUAUUGGGUUUAAAGGGAGCGUAGGCGGGAGCUUAAGUCAGCGGUUAAAUGGUGCGGCUCAACCGUGCCCUGCCGUUGAAACUGGGUUUCUUGAGAGUGCAAGAGGCGGAUGGAAUUCAUGGUGGAGCGGGGAAAUGCUUAGAUAUCAUGAAGAACUCCGAUUGCGAAGGCAGUCCGCUGGGGCACGUCUGACGCUGAUGCUCGAAGGUGCGGGAAUCAAACAGGAUUAGAUACCCUGGUAGUCCGCACGGUAAACGAUGAUUACCCGCUGUCGGCGGCAGACAGUCGGCGGCCAAGCGAAAGCGAUAAGUAAUCCACCUGGGGAGUACGCCGGCAACGGUGAAACUCAAAUGAAUUGACGGGG
rnacentral:rRNA from 1 species